UAGGUUAUUCUUUGAGGUCUCCUAAUCUUCUACAACCUCGGCAGUGGUGGCUGCCUCUUCUUGGUUUAGGAGUGGAAGUCGCAGGCUGAGGGAAGGGAAGUUUAUACUCCACAUGGGAAGGAAAGGAGGUGACAGACCCAAGUGUUGUUUGCUUGCGCGGUAGUUGCAACAAACAUGCCCCAAGUGUUGUUCCUUCAAGACUUUUUGUUGCUGUGGACACAUGUGUUUGUUAUGGUUGGUUUAUGAUGAGUCACAAAAAAAACUUGGGUUGUUGAUGUGUCUGUGAAACAAUCAAUUUCUUUUUGUUU